rnacentral:rRNA from 1 species
GAAUGCUGACAUAAGUAACGAUAAAGCGGGUGAAAAGCCCGCUCGCCGGAAGACCAAGGGUUCCUGUCCAACGUUAAUCGGGGCAGGGUGAGUCGACCCCUAAGGCGAGGCCGAAAGGCGUAGUCGAUGGGAAACAGGUUAAUAUUCCUGUACUUGGUGUUACUGCGAAGGGGGGACGGAGAAGGCUAUGUUGGCCGGGCGACGGUUGUCCCGGUUUAAGCGUGUAGGCUGGUUUUCCAGGCAAAUCCGGAAAAUCAAGGCUGAGGCGUGAUGACGAGGCACUACGGUGCUGAAGCAACAAAUGCCCUGCUUCCAGGAAAAGCCUCUAAGCAUCAGGUAACAUCAAAUCGUACCCCAAACCGACACAGGUGGUCAGGUAGAGAAUACCAAGGCGCUUGAGAGAACUCGGGUGAAGGAACUAGGCAAAAUGGUGCCGUAACUUCGGGAGAAGGCACGCUGAUGCGUAGGUGAAGUCCCUUGCGGAUGGAGCUGAAAUCAGUCGAAGAUACCAGCUGGCUGCAACUGUUUAUUAAAAACACAGCACUGUGCAAACACGAAAGUGGACGUAUACGGUGUGACGCCUGCCCGGUGCCGGAAGGUUAAUUGAUGGGGUUAGCGGUAACGCGAAGCUCUUGAUCGAAGCCCCGGUAAACGGCGGCCGUAACUAUAACGGUCCUAAGGUAGCGAAAUUCCUUGUCGGGUAAGUUCCGACCUGCACGAAUGGCGUAAUGAUGGCCAGGCUGUCUCCACCCGAGACUCAGUGAAAUUGAACUCGCUGUGAAGAUGCAGUGUACCCGCGGCAAGACGGAAAGACCCCGUGAACCUUUACUAUAGCUUGACACUGAACAUUGAGCCUUGAUGUGUAGGAUAGGUGGGAGGCUUUGAAGUGUGGACGCCAGUCUGCAUGGAGCCGACCUUGAAAUACCACCCUUUAAUGUUUGAUGUUCUAACGUUGGCCCCUAAUCGGGGUUGCGGACAGUGUCUGGUGGGUAGUUUGACUGGGGCGGUCUCCUCCUAAAGAGUAACGGAGGAGCACGAAGGUUGGCUAAUCCUGGUCGGACAUCAGGAGGUUAGUGCAAUGGCAUAAGCCAGCUUGACUGCGAGCGUGACGGCGCGAGCAGGUGCGAAAGCAGGUCAUAGUGAUCCGGUGGUUCUGAAUGGAAGGGCCAUCGCUCAACGGAUAAAAGGUACUCCGGGGAUAACAGGCUGAUACCGCCCAAGAGUUCAUAUCGACGGCGGUGUUUGGCACCUCGAUGUCGGCUCAUCACAUCCUGGGGCUGAAGUAGGUCCCAAGGGUAUGGCUGUUCGCCAUUUAAAGUGGUACGCGAGCUGGGUUUAGAACGUCGUGAGACAGUUCGGUCCCUAUCUGCCGUGGGCGCUGGAGAACUGAGGGGGGCUGCUCCUAGUACGAGAGGACCGGAGUGGACGCAUCACUGGUGUUCGGGUUGUCAUGCCAAUGGCACUGCCCGGUAGCUAAAUGCGGAAGAGAUAAGUGCUGAAAGCAUCUAAGCACGAAACUUGCCCCGAGAUGAGUUCUCCCUGACUCCUUGAGAGUCCUGAAGGAACGUUGAAGACGACGACGUUGAUAGGCCGGGUGUGUAAGCGCAGCGAUGCGUUGAGCUAACCGGUACUAAUGAACCGUGAGGCUUAACCUUACAAC